rnacentral:lncRNA from 1 species
CACAAACUUAACACUUUCUGUUGUACCAAAGUCCUCAUUGAUUUUGUGCAUCAACAUUUGGCGCCGUCUGUGGGAACAACGAUGAGUUCAUGUAGACGCAGGUAAGAGUUCAUGGGUUGAACAACGAUGUGGACAACUUACAAAGAAUGUGAAGCCUCUUGCAUUAUGUUUUCAUGAUUAUAUUUGGGAUGAAUUCAUUGAUUGUGCUUUGGUUAAGAGAAAAUGCUUGGAUAAGGAACUACCUUUUGCUCAUUAUUGGAGUUUUCUUUUCUCAUUCAUGAGUAUGUACAGUCUCCCAGAAGCAAUAAGUUUGGAAGCCUAUAUGCAUCACAAUUCUUUUGGAAGAAAAAGGGGAUCAGUCUAUACACAAUGGAAACAAAAAAUAUAUUAUAAAUUUUGUGCUCUUUGCAAUGUUGUACGAAUUGUGAUUAUCUUACUAAAAUCUCUACUAUGGGAAACAUUGGUUGGGCAUCCGAAACAUCGAGGAAGAGCAAAUGAAAUUCAAGGACGAAUUUUCUUCGAGAAGAGGAGAAUGAUGCGGGAGGAAGACUCGGAGAAAACAAUUUGAAACCAUGAAUAUGCUUUGGAAUAACAAAGGUUUUGUAUUUUAAUUACUUAGGAAUUUGUUAUUUUGGGAGUUAUAAGGGUGUCAUGGAAACUUAAGGUCUAUUAAUUUGUAAACGCUUAUAAAUAUUGUACUAGAGAGCCUUGAAUGGUAGACUGGAAUAAAUUAAAAUUGUAUUUGCCUUGUGCAUUUGAAAAGAGUGAUUUCUCCUUCUAAAAUCAAGCAUUUGGCUUGGUUGUGUGAAUCCAUGAUUAGCGACAUCGAGCGUACUCCGUUGCCCCUAAUUG